ensembl:lncRNA
AAAUAACCUCCCUCCUGGGUGAUAGAGGGGAGACCAACUCUGUUAAUGGGUUCCUUUUUUAGGCUCCGAGAUCUUGCUUCAGGGUGUUCAAAUUUUGAGACAUGUUUAUGUCAAGGAACCCUCCAUUCACCCUGGAAGAAUCAUGGAGUUCAUUUAGAGAUCACUUCCAUCCUACGCCCAAAGCAUAGGAACAAUCAUCAGAGACCUCUGUCUGGGAAACAUGCCAGGAAGUAGUGAACCUCCAGCAAUGCUGAGUCAGACUCUCUGUGGUAUAGGGAAUCUCAGCUCUCUACUUUCUUGUUUUGGACCUUUUUUUUGUUUUUACUUUUAGAUGGGACUUCUUGGGAGGGUUAUAUUCAGAAAGACCUUCCAGAGAUUUGGAGUAUGGAAGUAGAAACAUAAAUGAUUCUCUUCUUCUCUCCCAUGGCUUUGACUGCUUGUUUUGAAGGAAGAAGUGAGUAGAAGAGUGAGAAUGAGAGAAGAAGAAAAUUAUUUUAUGGAGAAUGGCAGAGACAGGGAGGAAAAGAGGGAUAAUGGGGUAAAGUAUGUAUAAUAUUUCACCUAACAUUUCCUUCCCCACAUCUCUGAUCAUUCCUUUUUCUCAAGUACGUAAGUUAUUAGGUUCUCAACCUUCAGAGAAGGGAUGUGGCAGCGAAAAGAAAUCGAAGCAGAGAUGAUGUGGCCAAAAACAUAAGGCUAUCCCAUGUAACCAAGAAUAUUGGCCUCCUGUCAUAAGCCAGCUCCAACUUGACAGCUAUGUGAGAGAUCUACUUUGGAAGUGGAUCUUUCAGCCUUGAUCUAGCUUCAAAGGACUUCAGCUUUGACCAACUACUUGAAUGGAACCACAUGAGGCUCCCUAAGCCAGAAUUACACAGCCAGGUUGCCCCUGAAUUUCUGACCCACAGAAAAUAUAUGAGGUGGCCUCCAAGAAUGAGCAAGACAAACAUUUGGAUUCAGCCCACAAGUAGGGCAUGCCACGUGGUGCCAUGUCAGCACCCAGGAUCUGAACCAGCGAACCCCAGGGCACCAAAGUGGAAUGUGGGCACUUAACUGCUGUGCCACCGGGAUGACCUCAUAGACACAAGCUGAAUAUCAAAAAACAAAAGGAUAAGAAAUUAAUGUUACAAACCAUUGGAAUACCAUUGACCAACAGAAGAUCCCCUACACAGCAUUGCAGGAAAAAUAACAGAUCCAUACCUAUAUACAACUGAAGGCAGGUGGCCUGGACCCACAGGAGGCAAUGGAACCAGAGUAGCAACACCCUCCUCCUCCCUUGGUAUCAGUAAUCCAGGGAACAGACCCCAGGAUGGAAAGUGUAGGAUCUCAAAUACAAUAAGAAGCAGAUCAAAACCAAAGUAAUCAAAGCUAUACCCAAUUAAGAAUGGUAGUACUAUCACAAGUGCCCCAGCAGAGACUUAACUCACCAAAUACUGUGAAUAACUACAGUAACAUGGUACAAGAGAAUGAGAAGGAAAACUCUCCAGAAACCAAAUUUGAAGUCACAGAAGAAUAUAAUCUAACUGAAAGAGAAUUCACAAUAGCUCUUCCACAGUAAAUCAAUGAGUUACAAGAAAACUCAGAAAUAUCGUUCAAUGAGCUCAGGAUUAAAAAAAUAAACAACAAACAAACAAAUGUUGGAGAUGAAGAACACAAUUAUGAGAUUAAAAAUAAGUAAGAAAGCAUUAAAGAUAGAGCAGAACAUAUGGAGGGGAGAAUUAGUGACCUCAAAGAUAGAAACUUAGAAUUGAUUCAGGUGGAGGAAGAGAGAGAAUGAAGAUUUUAAAAAGUGAAGAAAUUCUUCAAGAAAUAUCUGACUCAAUUAGGAAAAGUAACAUAAGGAUAAUAGAUAUCCCAGGAGGAGAAGAGAGGGGAAAAGGAGAAGAGAGCUUAUUCAAAAGAACAGUAGCUGAGAUCUUCACAAACCUGAGGAAGUAACUGGACUUACAAUUACUUGAAACCAAUAGAACUCCUAAUUACAUCAAGGCAAAAAGAUCUUACCCAAGGCAUAUAAUACCAAAGCUGUCAAAAUUCAAUGACAAAGAAAAAAUAUUAAGGGCCACAAGACAGAAGAAAAUAACCUACAAAGGAAUAUUUAUCAGGCUUUCAGCAAAUUUACAAGUAGAAAUCCUACAGGCUAGGAAAGAGUGGAAUGAUAUAUUCAAAAUACUGAAAGACAAAAACUAUCUGCCAAG